ACGGAAGGCAGCAGUGAGGAAUAUUGGUCAAUGGGCGAGAGCCUGAACCAGCCAAGUAGCGUGAAGGAUGACUGCCCUACGGGUUGUAAACUUCUUUUAUACGGGAAUAAAAAAGGCCACGCGUGGCCUCUUGCAUGUACCGUAUGAAUAAGCAUCGGCUAAUUCCGUGCCAGCAGCCGCGGUAAUACGGAAGAUGCGAGCGUUAUCCGGAUUUAUUGGGUUUAAAGGGAGCGUAGGCGGGUCUUUAAGUCAGUGGUCAAAGUGUGUGGCUCAACCAUACCACGCCAUUGAUACUGGAGACCUUGAGUGCACAUAAGGAUGGUGGAAUUCGUCGUGUAGCGGUGAAAUGCUUAGAUAUGACGAAGAACUCCGAUUGCGAAGGCAGCUGUCCGGGGUGUAACUGACGCUAAUGCUCGAAAGUGCGGGUAUCAAACAGGAUUAGAUACCCUGGUA
rnacentral:rRNA from 1 species